rnacentral:tRNA from 1 species
UCGGGGAUCGUCCAACCGGCAGGACACCGGACUUUGGAUCCGGGAAUCGAGGUUCGAGUCCUCGUCCCCGAG